UGGGGUGUAGCUCAGUGGUAGAGUGCUUGCCUAGCAUAUGCAAGGCUCUGGGUUCAAUCCCCAGUAUUGCAG
rnacentral:tRNA from 1 species